AAACCAACAGGGAUUGCCUCAGUAACGGCGAGUGAAGCGGCAAAAGCUCAAAUUUGAAAUCCUUCGGGAGUUGUAAUUUGAAGAUUGGCGUGGCUAUCGAGUCUCAAGUCCCUUGGAACAGGGCGCCUUGGAGGGUGAGAGCCCCGUAGAGAUUCACAGCAUUGGCGCUAAAUCGACGAGUCGAGUUGUUUGGGAAUGCAGCUCAAAGUGGGUGGUAAAUUCCAUCUAAAGCUAAAUACCGGCGAGAGACCGAUAGCGAACAAGUACAGUGAUGGAAAGAUGAAAAGCACUUUGAAAAGAGAGUGAAACAGUACGUGAAAUUGUUGAAAGGGAAGGGCUUGCAAGCAGACACGGUUUCGGCCGGGCCAGCAUCGGUUGAUGGGGGUGGAUAAGGCGGCGGGAAUGUAGCUCCUCCAGGAGUAUUAUAUCCCGUCCGAGAUACACCCAUCGUCGACCGAGGCCUGCGAUUCGUUCUAGGAUGCUGGCGUAAUGGUUGCAAGCCGC
rnacentral:rRNA from 1 species